rnacentral:misc_RNA from 1 species
UUCGCACAAUACAAAACGCCUGCAUAACGGUCUGGAGUGCACGGCGACUGUUUGUCCCCCCACCCCCACCCCGAUUUUUUCUCUUCCUCUACCGCCCCUUCGCUCCUGGACGAUUGGGAAGCGAUAUGGGCUUGUUCGGGCUGCUGUUGCUUAGAUGUCAGCACAUCAUCAGCGGACCGCGUGCCGAAAACGGCCUAGUGCAAGCGAAACACACUGGGGGACGUCGAUAAAGAAAAGUAGCCGCGCGCUUCAUUGGCCCUGUAUGCGUUUCCUCGUGGAGGGUUUCUCUUUCGUCCCCUCUCUUCGGCAUCUCCUCCGUUGCCGAGGCCGGCAGCGCAGACCGCGUGCAUUAUCACCGUCGAACGCCCUCUCUCCUACUCGGCCACGCGCACCCUCCGAUGGCCACACCUGCUUUGCAUCACCUCCGCCAUGGCUCCGUCCUCCUCUUCGGAUUCUACUCUCUCCCGUGUGUGUGCGUGACCUUCCGCCCCUGCGCGCGCACAAAACGGACACACGCGAACCACAUACGCAAG